ACUCCUACGGGAGGCAGCAGUGGGGAAUAUUGCACAAUGGGCGCAAGCCUGAUGCAGCCAUGCCGCGUGUAUGAAGAAGGCCUUCGGGUUGUAAAGUACUUUCAGCAGUGAGGAAGGUGGAUAUGUUAAUAGUACAUACUCAUUUGACUGUUAGCUUGCAGAAGAAGACACCGGCUAACUCCGUGCCAGCAGCCGCGGUAAUACGGAGGGUGCGAGCGUUAAUCGGAAUUACUGGGCGU
rnacentral:rRNA from 1 species